rnacentral:rRNA from 1 species
UACGAAGGGGGCUAGCGUUGCUCGGAAUCACUGGGCGUAAAGCGCACGUAGGCGGAUCUUUAAGUCAGGGGGUGAAAUCCUGGAGCUCAACUCCAGAACUGCCUUUGAUACUGGGGAUCUCGAGUCCGGAAGAGGUAAGUGGAACUCCGAGUGUAGAGGUGAAAUUCGUAGAUAUUCGGAAGAACACCAGUGGCGAAGGCGACUUACUGGACACAUAUUGACGCUGAGGUGCGAAAGCGUGGGGAGCAAACAGG